rnacentral:rRNA from 1 species
AUUGAACGCUGGCGGCAUGCCUUACACAUGCAAGUCGAACGGCAGCGGGGGAGAAGCUUGCUUUUCCUGCCGGCGAGUGGCGAACGGGUGAGUAAUACAUCGGAACGUGCCCUGUAGUGGGGGAUAACUAGUCGAAAGAUUAGCUAAUACCGCAUACGACCUGAGGGUGAAAGUGGGGGACCGCAAGGCCUCAUGCUAUAGGAGCGGCCGAUGUCUGAUUAGCUAGUUGGGGGGGGAAAGGCCUACCAAGGCGACGAUCCGUAGCUGGUCUGAGAGGAACGUCAGCCACCCUGGGAGUGGGACACGGCCCAGAUUCCGACGGGAGGCAGCAGUGGGGAAUUUUGGACAAUGGGCGAAAGCCUGAUCCAGCAAUGCCGCGUGUGUGAAGAAGGCCUUCGGGUUGUAAAGCACUUUUGUCCGGAAAGAAAUGGCUCUGGUUAAUACCUGGGGUCGAUGACGGUACCGGAAGAAUAAGGACCGGCUAACUACGUGCCAGCAGCCGCAGUAA